rnacentral:rRNA from 1 species
AGCGAACGCUGGCGGCAGGCUUAACACAUGCAAGUCGAACGGGCACUUCGGUGCUAGUGGCAGACGGGUGAGUAACGCGUGGGAACGUGCCUUUCGGUUCGGAAUAAUCCAGGGAAACUUGGACUAAUACCGGAUACGCCCUUCGGGGGAAAGAUUUAUCGCCGAAAGAUCGGCCCGCGUCUGAUUAGCUAGUUGGUGAGGUAAAGGCUCACCAAGGCGACGAUCAGUAGCUGGUGUGAGAGGAUGAUCAGCCACAUUGGGGCUGAGACACGGCCCAAACUCCUACGGGAGGCAGCAGUGGGGAAUAUUGGACAAUGGGCGCAAGCCUGAUCCAGCCAUGCCGCGUGAGUGAUGAAGGCCUUAGGGUUGUAAAGCUCUUUUGUCCGGGAAGAUAAUGACUGUACCGGAAGAAUAAGCCCCGGCUAACUUCGUGCCAGCCGCCGCGGUAAAAC